rnacentral:rRNA from 1 species
AUUGAACGCUGGCGGAAUGCUUUACACAUGCAAGUCGAACGGCAGCACGGACUUCGGUCUGGUGGCGAGUGGCGAACGGGUGAGUAAUGUAUCGGAACGUGCCCAGUCGUGGGGGAUAACGUAGUGAAAAUUACGCUAAUACCGCAUACGAUCUAUGGAUGAAAGCGGGGGAUCGCAAGACCUCGCGCGAUUGGAGCGGCCGAUAUCAGAUUAGGUAGUUGGUGGGGUAAAGGCCCACCAAGCCAACGAUCUGUAGCUGGUCUGAGAGGACAACCAGCCACACUGGAACUGAGACACGGUCCAGACUCCUACGGGAGGCAGCAGUGGGGAAUUUUGGACAAUGGGCGAAAGCCUGAUCCAGCCAUUCCGCGUGCAGGAUGAAGGCCCUCGGGUUGUAAACUGCUUUUGUACAGAACGAAAAGGUUUCUACUAAUACUAGGAGCUCAUGACGGUACUGUAAGAAUAAGCACCGGCUAACUACGUGCCAGCAGCCGCUGUAA